UACGUAGGGUGCAAGCGUUAAUCGGAAUUACUGGGCGUAAAGCGUGCGCAGGCGGUUUUGUAAGUCUGUCGGGAAAUCCCCGGGCUUAACCUGGGAAUGGCGAUGGAGACUGCAAGGCUGGAAUCUGGCAGAGGGGGGUAGAAUUCCACGUGUAGCAGUGAAAUGCGUAGAGAUGUGGAGGAACACCGAUGGCGAAGGCAGCCCCCUGGGCUAAGAUUGACGCUCAUGCACGAAAGCGUGGGGAGCAAACAGG
rnacentral:rRNA from 1 species